UCGUCGUCGUCCUCCCUGCUGCCAGCGACGCCCUCCUGUCUCCUCUGCACCAGUCUACUCCUUCAUAUUAUUUACAAAAGAAAAUGGUUUGGGGUGAAGAGUUGAAGGCUUGAAGCCAAAUGUUCCUAAUCAAGAAGAUGACCCGCACAACUCCCCUGAAACAAGGCCAGCACUAUGUGCCAAGAUUGAAGAUCCCAAAUAUGUUUACUUUGGUCCAAUAUCGUAUAGCAGUGUAAUGCUUCAGGCACUUUUUAUCAUUCAUUUUUAUUAUUCAAAUCUCUAUAUGGUUGCCAUAGAUGCUACUAUUACAUGGAUUUAUUACUAUUUUUCAUGUGUUGUUGAAAAUAGAACUCACUCA